UACAGAGGGGGCAAGCGUUGUUCGGAAUUACUGGGCGUAAAGGGCGCGUAGGCGCCUUCUAAGUCGAACGUGAAAUCCCCGGGCUCAACCCGGGAACUGCGUCCGAUACUGGAAGGCUUGAAUCCGGGAGAGGGAUGCGGAAUUCCAGGUGUAGCGGUGAAAUGCGUAGAUAUCUGGAGGAACACCGGUGGCGAAGGCGGCAUCCUGGACCGGCAUGACGCUGAGGCGCGAAAGCCAGGGGAGCAAACGGG
rnacentral:rRNA from 1 species